rnacentral:misc_RNA from 1 species
UUUGUUUUAUUUUAUUUUAUUGAAUCAUGGUACGUAUCAUCACAUAAAAACGCGAAAGAAUCUGUCAAAUUAAUUGCUAUCUAAUCAAUUAAUCAAUCCAGCCCUUGAUUUGAAAAUGGACUUUUGCCUGGAAUUAAGAGAUUAUGCAGCUGUAAUCUCUUCUUUUCCAAACAAGAAAUAACCCUUCUUUUUCUCCUCAAAAAUAUAUCGACAAUGCCUUCCUCAGUCUCCUCUCUAUAAUAUAUAUGACUGAACCACUACAUAUAUGGUUGAAGCUCAUUCUGAACCCAUCAAUAGCAAUCAGCCAAACUCUUUCUUUUUCUGCAGAACAUAAAUGGAAUUGCUAAGUGCAAAUAGUGGGAAGCCUUGUCUUGAUCAUUUUCUAUCAUGUUUUAUAGGAUAUUCUAUGUAUGAAUUCGAUUUUGAGAGGACAGUGUGCAACCAUGGUUUUUUCAUGAUGGCUCCCAACCGUUGGUGCCCUGAAACUAAGACCUUACAACGUCCACUUCGCCUUGCAGAUGGCACCACCUCUGUGCUUGCUUCCAUUACACACCCUCCUCAAAAGUUUUGUCUUAGCAUCCAUGUUUAUGGCGUUGAGUACCUUUCUAGUGAAGACAAAGAAAUCAUAUGUGUAAG